CGGGUGAGUAAUGCCUAGGAAUCUGCCUGGUAGUGGGGGACAACGUUUCGAAAGGAACGCUAAUACCGCAUACGUCCUACGGGAGAAAGCAGGGGACCUUCGGGCCUUGCGCUAUCAGAUGAGCCUAGGUCGGAUUAGCUAGUUGGUGAGGUAAUGGCUCACCAAGGCGACGAUCCGUAACUGGUCUGAGAGGAUGAUCAGUCACACUGGAACUGAGACACGGUCCAGACUCCUACGGGAGGCAGCAGCA
rnacentral:rRNA from 1 species